rnacentral:rRNA from 1 species
AACGAACGCUGGCGGCAUGCCUAACACAUGCAAGUCGAACGAGACCUUCGGGUCUAGUGGCGCACGGGUGCGUAACGCGUGGGAACCUGCCCUUAGGUUCGGAAUAACUCCCCGAAAGGGGUGCUAAUACCGGAUAAUGUCUUCGGACCAAAGAUUUAUCGCCUUUGGAUGGGCCCGCGUUGGAUUAGCUAGUUGGUAGGGUAAAAGCCUACCAAGGCGACGAUCCAUAGCUGGUCUGAGAGGAUGAUCAGCCACACUGGGACUGAGACACGGCCCAGACUCGCGCAGGAGAGGGGGGGGGAAAAGAUCGAAAACUGGCGGAAGGCUUGAGACGGCAGUGCCGCGUGAGACAGAACGUCCUUAGGGUUGUAAGGGUUUUUUACCGGGUAAGUAAAGGACUGUGGCGGAGGAAUAAGCCAGCACACCCCCUGUA